CGUGUAGAUGGCUUUUUAAGUCAGCUGUGAAAUCUCCUGGCUCAACCGGGAGAGGUCAGUUGAUACUGAGGAGCUUGAGGGCAGCAGAGGAAGAUGGAAUUCCCGGUGUAGUGGUGAAAUGCGUAGAUAUCGGGAGGAACACCAGUGGCGAAGGCGGUCUUCUGGGCUGUUUCUGACAUUGAGGCGCGAAAGCGUGGGGAGUGAAGCGGAUCAGAUACCCGCGUAAUCCACGCUAUAAACGGUGGAUACUAGGUAUGGGGGGUAUCGACCCUCUCCGUGCCGCAGCUAACGUUUAAGUAUCCCGCCUGGGGACUACGGCCGCAAGGUUAAA
rnacentral:rRNA from 1 species